GACGAACGCUGGCGGCGUGCCUAAUACAUGCAAGUCGAACGCAUUUUCUUUCACCGUAGCUUGCUACACCGAAAGAAAAUGAGUGGCGAACGGGUGAGUAACACGUGGGUAACCUGCCCAUCAGCGGGGGAUAACACUUGGAAACAGGUGCUAAUACCGCAUAUUUCAUUUAACCCCUGGUAAAUGGAUGAAAGGGGCUUUUGCGUCACUGGUGGAUGGGACCGCGGUGCAUUAGCUAGUUGGUGGGGUAACGGCCUACCAAGGCUGCGAUGCAUAGCCGACCUGAGAGGGUGAUCGGCCACACUGGGACUGAGACACGGCCCAGACUCCUACGGGAGGCAGCAGUAGGGAAUCUUCGGCAAUGGACGCAAGUCUGACCGAGCAACGCCGCGUGAUUGAAGAAGGUUUUCGGAUCGUAAAACUCUGUUGUUAGAGAAGAACAAGGAUGAGAGUGGAAAGUUCAUCCCUUGACGGUAUCUAACCAGAAAGCCACGGCUAACUACGUG
rnacentral:rRNA from 1 species